CCUACCCCACUGUUCUCAACUCCUACUUGCUAUCUACUCCAGACACAACUAAGACUAACAGAUGGAAGCCAAAGGAAUAAUGGUUUCUGCUGAAUGGGCAAGGAAGGAAUUCCUAUAAAAUUAAAGCUACUGAAAAAUGAAAACAGGCUGAUGUAAAAGCUCCCCAUCACUGACAGUCUUCAAGCAGAGACUGAAUAACAGGAGAGAUUCAUGCUUCCUUCAGCCCGAGUUAAACACACGGAGACGUCCUUUAAACCAGCAGGAGGCAUCCCAAAGGUUGGACCCCCGCGAGCACGACCUCAAAUUGACAGGAGCCUGGCUCCCCCGGCACCGACGGUACGGAAAGCGGAG